rnacentral:rRNA from 1 species
ACGGAAUAGAUACCCAGGUAGUCCACGCAGUAAACGAUGAUUACUAGUUGUUUGCGAUACAAAUGUAAAGCGACUGAGCGAAAGCGUUAAGUAAUCCACCUGGGGAGUACGUUCGCAAGAAUGAAACUCAAAGGAAUUGACGGGGGGCCCGCACAAGCGGAGGAACAUGUGGUUUAAAUUCGAUGAUACGCGAGGAACCUUACCCGGGCUUGAAAUGCGGCGGACCGGCAGAGAGAUCUGCCUUCCCUUCGGGGCCGCCGUGUAGGUGCUGCAUGGUUGUCGUCAGCUCGUGCCGUGAGGUGUCGGCUUAAGUGCCAUAACGAGCGCAACCCUCAUCAUUAGUUACUAACAGGUCAUGCUGAGGACUCUAGUGAGACUGCCAUCGUAAGAUGCGAGGAAGGUGGGGAUGACGUCAAAUCAGCACGGCCCUUACGUCCGGGGCGACACACGUGUUACAAUGGGUGGUACAAAGGGCAGCUACCUGGCGACAGGAUGCUAAUCUCCAAAACCACUCUCAGUUCGGAUCGGAGU